UACGUAUGGGGCAAGCGUUAUCCGGAUUCAUUGGGCGUAAAGAGCGCGUAGGCGGCUUGUUAAGUUAGAUGUGAAAUCCGGGGGCUUAACCCGCGGCUUGCAUCUAAAACUGGCAGGCUUGAGUCUGGUAGAGGAAAGUGGAAUUCCCAGUGUAGCGGUGAAAUGCGCAGAUAUUGGGAGGAACACCAGUGGCGAAGGCGGCUUUCUGGGCCACGACUGACGCUGAGGCGCGAAAGCUAGGGGAGCGAAC
rnacentral:rRNA from 1 species